UUCCUCCAUCCAGUAGAACAUUCAGAGAUAAAAUCUUCAUACCAAUUAUAUUUGUUCUCAAUCUUGAAGACUUGUGAAAUUUAUUCUUCUUAAUAUUUAGCCUUCAAGAUUAGUUUAGGUUGAGUGUUGAACUUAUAUUUUUUCAUCCUUUUAUUCAACCCAUGGACCCAAAAAUCUUUAAACAACCUGUCUAUUUAGAAACACAAAAAGUGUAAACUCAAAAUCGUUAUUGUAUAAGGUAUUUAUAAAAGGACUAAGAUAGUCCUUGGCGUGUAGAGACUAGAGGAAUAGUCUUUGUGUAAAGCUCAUCGACGAGGGGUGCUCGUGGGGAUUGGUUGCGGUGCCUACCAAGGCGAAAGUAGACCGAAACUAGUGGAUUGGAAAAUCUUGAGGGGAUUCUUAGCAACGUAGUCGGCGAAGAUAGCGUUGUCUUCCUGUGUGUUUGUAGCAACGGAGAUGGCGUCAAAGAGAAAAAGAGGGUUGUUGUGUGUCUGUUGGUCUUCGUAUGAGGGAGAAGCAUGUUUUAUAUUAAAAGAAGAAGAAGAAGAAAGAGCACGACAUGUGUCACGUCGCGCAUCUAACGGCGCCGUCUCUCUAAUGACGUCGUUUUGAACCUUAGUGCAUGCAAUAACAAUUACGCACCAGCUGGGUGCAAGUAGUGCACCAAACAUGUAAUCUCAACUCUUUCUAGACUUUUAUAGUUUUAUUCACAUCAAGUGGAUCUCACAAAAAAAUAAAUUAUUUGGAGUAAAGACCAUAAAAAAAAUCCCGACCCUAUUUGUGAAAAAAUCAAUCUUAAUUUUUUUGUUCUGCAA